CCUGUGUGCUACACCUACCUGGACUUUCUGACGUUGACCGUGGAUGUUGAUCAGAUACGCCGAACGAUUGCUGCGUUUGACUGUCAGCUCACUUGCCUCUGGAAAUCAAUACGGACUCUUUGCCAAACAAGACUUUAAAAAUGCCGAGGGGAGGCAUUGGGGGGUCUUGCUGAGGGCCUGAGACGUAGGAAGCGGCUCAGAUACUUGGAGAAGUUGAUGGCCCUUUGAGAGACAGAAGAGCAUCAUGGUAUAUAUGACUCCAGUACCAACUGGCUUAGUUCAAAUCUCAGCUCCAUCUCCUCCUAGCUGUGUAGACCUUGAGAUUCCAUACUGGAUCCCAUAGGAUCCCUGACUGGAUCCCACCGGACCAUCUCUUUAGUCUCAUCCCAUCUGUGACAGUUUCUCAGUCUUUCUUUGUUUUCCAUGACUCUGAAAGUUUUGAGGAGUCUUGGCUAAGCACUUUGUAGGCUGUUCCUCACCUUAGAUUUGUCUGAUGUUUUCCUCCCAAUUAGAUUAGGGUUUUGGAAAGAGCACCACCGAAGUAAAGUGCUGAGCCCACACUGAAUGAGAAAUCUCUGUCUUUUCUGCCUUUCACUUCUCUUCAAUUUCUCUUCCUCUCUUUUCUACUUCUCCCCCUCACCACCCAUGGACUUACAGUCUAAGGAAACCAAAGGGUGAGAAAUGAAUUGGGCUCUGGAGGGAAAUUAGAAUCUGGAAGUGAAUAAAGCCUUUUGCUUGCUUGAGUCUCCAUCAGACUUGACAUGUCAGAACCCACCAUGAGGAUAUGGCCCCCCUUACUCCACCCACUCCCCCAAUUUGCAGGAAUUUGGGAGAGGCUUUGUACUCACACAUGGCAUAAAUUGAAGGUUCCUGCGGUUUUAGCUUCAUUUCAAGGUGCGGGUGCUAACAUUUCAUGACACUCCCUGUGGGGUGUCUGCUCCACGCCCCACAAUGUGCAGGCCUCCACCUCUGCACACGCACAUCGCACCCUUUCUUUAGGACCCAGUUCACUUGCCACCUCUGUCUCUCCUCAGUCGGGCUGGAGUCCAAGAUGGGAAUCAGGGCAGAUGUACAGACACAGAGGAAGGCACAUGCGGUGAGGGAGUCCAGAAAAAGGUUCGACACCUGGGCUAACAGAGAGGGCUCUGGGUGGAUGUCCUCACACUUCAUUUCUGGUCUCCACCGCCAGAAGGACUGUGUUGAUGCUUGACAAACCUCAACCCCACUCUCAGGUCGCAACCACAUGCCCACGGCUGUCCCCACCGCCCUCAUCAGAGGCUCUAAAGUCAUGAAGGAAGAUAAAGAGACAGUGAACUGGACUUUGUGCACUAAAUCUUUGAAACAGAAGAACUUUCAGGUUGGGAUUUUCAUGUUUAAAAUUUAGGACAGCAAGAGGACUUGGUUUCCAGUCCUAGAUCUGCCUCUCCCGAAAUCUGCAUUUCCACCGCUCACCAGAUUGUGGUUGAAUGGGGGUCACCACAUCAGGACCACGGCAGCUAUUUCAUGCAUGCAUCUCAUUUUCAU